UGAGAUGGGCAGUAUGCAAAUCUAACAAAUCAAAUAUUUAAAGAAAUUUGUCCCUUGUUUAAGAUUAAUCAUUUUCUCUGAUAGAGAUUUUUAUCAAAACACCAACUGAUGCAUCAAGAAUUACCUUCAAAAAGCAUUUUUCCCAUAACAUGGGCAAUUUAUCAACAGUUGGCUAAGAGAUUAACAUAGAGUAUUGGAUUUUCUCAAAUGAAAAAAUAGCUCUCCUUUAAAAAGAUAUUAACAAUACUGGUAUUUGCCACAAUAUCAAGAGUCUACAGAAACUGGUCUAUCUUUUUACAGUUUUUAAAAGCAGGAUUUUCCUUUAUGGAUAAUCUUCCCGAGGAACACAUAUAUCCUUGAGACAGCAGGUGGUAUGAGAAUUCCUUCUGUAUAUUCCAAAGUAAGACUGAUAUUAAUUAUCUAUGCCGCCCAGAUCACCUAAUAGGAACUCAUAUAAUUCUAGAUUUCCAUGUGAAAAAAAGAAGGGACAGGAAGAUUUGAAAUAAAUAAGGAAGCCUUAUUCAUCUGAUCCCAAGUUAUGGAGAAAAGCACCAUUGGAGCUGAAGCAAGCCACUUCUUUGCUACAGUUUAGGAGGGGAUUUACUCAAGCCUCUUCAUUGGUUUAAUGUUAAUUAUUUUAACUCUUUUAAUAUUGUCUCAUAGUAUUGUUUUAAUAAUGUGUUCAGAUUCCACAUUGUAGUUUGUAUAUUUGCGGUCCUAUGUUCUUAUGUAGUUUAAUUGUGCAGUACAAUUUCUGAGUCAUAAAAUUCAAGUUUUGAUA